UACGUAGGGGGCAAGCGUUGUCCGGAUUUAUUGGGCGUAAAGAGCGUGUAGGCGGUCAGGUAGGUCGGUUGUGAAAACUGGAGGCUCAACCUUCAGAGGUCGACCGAAGCCCCCUGGCUAGAGUCCGGGAGAGGAGAGUGGAAUUCCUGGUGUAGCGGUGAAAUGCGCAGAUAUCAGGAAGAACACCCGUGGCGAAAGCGGCUCUCUGGAACGGUACUGACGCUGAGACGCGAAAGCGUGGGGAGCGAACAGG
rnacentral:rRNA from 1 species